ACGAGCGCUGGCGGCGUGCUUAACACAUGCAAGUCGAACGGAAAGGCCUCUUUCGGGGGGUACUCGAGUGGCGAACGGGUGAGUAACACGUGAGUAACCUGCCCUUUACUUUGGGAUAACUUCAGGAAACUGGGGCUAAUACCGGAUAGGAGCUCCUGCUGCAUGGUGGGGGUUGGAAAGUUUCGGCGGUUGGGGAUGGACUCGCGGCUUAUCAGCUUGUUGGUGGGGUAGUGGCUUACCAAGGCUUUGACGGGUAGCCGGCCUGAGAGGGUGACCGGCCACAUUGGGACUGAGAUACGGCCCAGACUCCUACGGGAGGCAGCAGUGGGGAAUAUUGCACAAUGGGUGGAAGCCUGAUGCAGCAACGCCGUGUGCGGGAUGACGGCCUUCGGGUUGUAAACCGCUUUCGCUCAUGACGAAGCUUUGUGUGACGGUAGUGGGUAAAGAAGCACCGGCUAACUACGUG
rnacentral:rRNA from 1 species